UGUCACUCGACUGACUUCUGAAUAGCUGCCGAUGCGAAACACCUGAGAGGCUCCAGGACAGCAGCUGCACACAGACGAAGUGUCAGAUCAACUUUUUGCCCUUUGAAACAAUUUAAGCUUUUCCAUCAAACAUGUUACUCAUAAAUCCAAACCUAAUCUGCGGACAUCAACAGAGGAGACGGCUGUCCAAAGAAAGAAGAGACCUGAAUGAGGCUGCGUCUCCUUCACAAUGCGGUCGGAUGCUGAAGUGUGUUCCUCCUGCCCCUCAAAGCUAUCACAGGCGCUCACAAUCGCCCGCGGCGCUCUUUUGAUCAGCCCAGAUGCCUGAUCUGAACACCUGGAAACGCCGUUUAAACCGCAGCAGGGGAGGAAGUGGCAGAUCUUAGUCUUGUGCUCGUGAAGUCAAACCUUCACUCCAGAUUUAAGCUUUUUCCAGGGUGACAGGAGCUGCAGCCAAUCCCAGCAUGCAUUGU